rnacentral:rRNA from 1 species
GACAGGGGCACCUGCAUCCAGCCAUUCCGCGUGAGUGAAGAAGGCUUCGGGUUGUAAAGCUCUUUCGCAAGGGAAGAAAACUUAUGAUCGAAUAAAUCAUGAGGUUGACGGUACCUUGAUAAGAAGCACCGGCUAACUACGUGCCAGCAGCCGCGGUAAUACGUAGGGUGCGAGCGUUAAUCGGAAUUACUGGGCGUAAAGCGUGCGCAGGCGGUUUUGUAAGUCGGAUGUGAAAUCCCCGGGCUCAACCUGGGAACUGCGUUCGAAACUGCAAGGCUAGAGUGUGUCAGAGGGGGGUAGAAUUCCACGUGUAGCAGUGAAAUGCGUAGAGAUGUGGAGGAAUACCAAUGGCGAAGGCAGCCCCCUGGGAUAACACUGACGCUCAUGCACGAAAGCGUGGGGAGCAAACAGGAUUAGAUACCCUGGUAGUCCACGCCCUAAACGAUGUCAACUAGUUGUUGGUAGAGUAAAAUCUAUGAGUAACGUAGCUAACGCGUGAAGUUGACCGCCUGGGGAGUACGGUCGCAAGAUUAAAACUCAAAGGAAUCGACGGGGGCCCGCACAAGCGGUGGAUUAUGUGGAUUAAUUCGAUGCC